CUUUUCUCUGCACAUAUUUUAACUGCCAUGUCAGUAUUAAUGAACUGGUACUAAUACAUAAGUACUUCUAUGUACUUCAUGCAUUAAUGCUGGCACCCAUGAAUAACAUAUA
rnacentral:ncRNA from 1 species